rnacentral:siRNA from 1 species
GCCGCUUUCACUUUCACUGUCCGC